AUGUUAGAUGCUUGCAUUGUAACUGAUUUAACAUUGAGACGAGUGGCGAACUGGUGAGUAACACGUGGGUAACCUGCCCUUGAAGUAGGGGAUAACACUUGGAAACAGGUGCUAAUACCGUAUAACAACCAAAACCACCUGGUUUUGGUUUAAAAGAUGGCUUCGGCUAUCACUUUAGGAUGGACCCGCGGCGUAUUAGCUUGUUGGUAAGGUAACAGCCUACCAAGGCAAUGAUACGUAGCCGACCUGAGAGGGUAAUCGGCCACAUUGGGACUGAGACACGGCCCAAACUCCUACGGGAGGCAGCAGUAGGGAAUCUUCCACAAUGGACGAAAGUCUGAUGGAGCAACGCCGCGUGAGUGAUGAAGGGUUUCGGCUCGUAAAACUCUGUUGUUGGAGAAGAACAGGUGUGAGAGUAACUGUUCACAUCUUGACGGUAUCCAACCAGAAAGCCACGGCUAACUACGUGCCAGCAGCCGCGGUAAUACGUAGGUGGCAAGCGUUGUCCGGAUUUAUUGGGCGUAAAGCGAGCGCAGGCGGUUUCUUAGGUCUGAUGUGAAAGCCUUCGGCUUAACCGGAGAAGUGCAUCAGAAACCAGGAGACUUGAGUGCAGAAGAGGACAGUGGAACUCCAUGUGUAGCGGUGAAAUGCGUAGAUAUAUGGAAGAACACCAGUGGCGAAGGCGGCUGUCUGGUCUGUAACUGACGCUGAGGCUCGAAA
rnacentral:rRNA from 1 species